GGCGAACGCUGGCGGCGUGCUUAACACAUGCAAGCCGAACGGAAAGGCCCUGCUUUUGUGGGGUGCUCGAGUGGCGAACGGGUGAGUAACACGUGAGUAACCUGCCCUUGACUUUGGGAUAACCUCAGGAAACUGGGGCUAAUACCGGAUAGGAGCUCCUGCUGCAUGGUGGGGGUUGGAAAGUUUCGGCGGUUGGGGAUGGACUCGCGGCUUAUCAGCUUGUUGGUGGGGUAGUGGCUUACCAAGGCCUUGACGGGUAGCCGGCCUGAGAGGGUGACCGGCCACAUUGGGACUGAGAUACGGCCCAGACUCCUACGGGAGGCAGCAGUGGGGAAUAUUGCACAAUGGGCGGAAGCCUGAUGCAGCAACGCCGCGUGCGGGAUGACGGCCUUCGGAUUGUAAACCGCUUUCGCCUGUGACGAAGCGUGAGUGACGGUAAUGGGUAAAGAAGCACCGGCUAACUACGUGCCAGCAGCCGCGGUGAUACGUAGGGUGCGAGCGUUGUCCGGAUUUAUUGGGCGUAAAGGGCUCGUAGGUGGUUGAUCGCGUCGGAAGUGUAAUCUUGGGGCUUAACCCUGAGCGUGCUUUCGAUACGGGUUGACUUGAGGAAGGUAGGGGAGAAUGGAAUUCCUGGUGGAGCGGUGGAAUGCGCAGAUAUCAGGAGGAACACCAGUGGCGAAGGCGGUUCUCUGGGCCUUUCCUGACGCUGAGGAGCGAAAGCGUGGGGAGCGAACAGGCUUAGAUACCCUGGUAGUCCACGCUGUAAACGGUGGGUACUAGGUGUGGGGUCCAUUCCACGGGUUCCGUGCCGUAGCUAACGCUUUAAGUACCCCGCCUGGGGAGUACGGCCGCAAGGCUAAAACUCAAAGGAAUUGACGGGGCCCCGCACAAGCGGCGGAGCAUGCGGAUUAAUUCGAUGCAACGCGUAGAACCUUACCUGGGUUUGACAUGGAUCGGGAGUGCUCAGAGAUGGGUGUGCCUCUUUUGGGGUCGGUUCACAGGUGGUGCAUGGCUGUCGUCAGCUCGUGUCGUGAGAUGUUGGGUUAAGUCCCGCAACGAGCGCAACCCUUGUUCACUGUUGCCAGCACGUUAUGGUGGGGACUCAGUGGAGACCGCCGGGGUCAACUCGGAGGAAGGUGGGGAUGACGUCAAGUCAUCAUGCCCCUUAUGUCCAGGGCUUCACGCAUGCUACAAUGGCUGGUACAGAGAGUGGCGAGCCUGUGAGGGUGAGCGAAUCUCGGAAAGCCGGUCUCAGUUCGGAUUGGGGUCUGCAACUCGACCUCAUGAAGUCGGAGUCGCUAGUAAUCGCAGACCAGCAACGCCGCGGUGAAUACGUUCCCGGGGC
rnacentral:rRNA from 1 species